rnacentral:rRNA from 1 species
UACGAAGGGGGCUAGCGUUGCUCGGAAUUACUGGGCGUAAAGGGCGCGUAGGCGGAUGUUUAAGUCGGGGGGUGAAAGCCCGGGGCUCAACCCCGGAAUUGCCUUCGAUACUGGACAUCUUGAGUACGGGAGAGGUGAGUGGAACUCCGAGUGUAGAGGUGAAAUUCGUAGAUAUUCGGAAGAACACCAGUGGCGAAGGCGGACUCACUGGCCCGUUACUGACGCUGAGGCGCGAAAGCGUGGG